rnacentral:rRNA from 1 species
UACGUAGGCAGCAAGCGUUGUUCGGAAUUACUGGGCGUAAAGAGUGUGUAGGCGGUGCUCUAAGUCUGUUGUGAAAUCUCCCGGCUUAACCGGGAGGGUGCGGCGGAAACUGGAGUGCUUGAGGGUGGGAGAGGUAAGCGGAAUUCCUGGUGUAGCGGUGAAAUGUGUAGAGAUCGGGAGGAACACCGGUGGCGAAGGCGGGUCUCUGGGCAUCUCCUGACGAUGAGGCGCGAAAGCGUGGGGAGCAAACGGG